rnacentral:rRNA from 1 species
GACAGAGGGUGCAAACGUUGUUCGGAAUUACUGGGCGUAAAGCGCGUGUAGGCUGCUCGGAUAGUCGGGUGUGAAAGCCCUGGGCUCAACCCAGGAAGUGCAUUCGAUACUGCCGAGCUUGAGUCCUGGAGAGGAAGGCGGAAUUCUCGGUGUAGAGGUGAAAUUCGUAGAUAUCGAGAGGAACACCGGUGGCGAAGGCGGCCUUCUGGACAGUGACUGACGCUGAGACGCGAAAGCGUGGGGAGCAAACAGG